GACCGCUGAGAUGGCCACACUGCCGAACGGUGCAGCGCUGGCGGUGUAACCGCCCGACUCCACCUCAACUGUCAACGUGCGCGCGAAGAAGAGAGAAAACAAAAACAAAGUGCGUGUGUGACACCCAGUCACAAGAAACCAUGCUGGGCAAGUCACCAUCGCGAAUUAUUAGGAAAAGUAAGAACUUUUUGCUUAGUUUAGCUUUUCGGAUAAGUAGGGGAAAAAUUGUGUAGACGCUGUAGAAGUUGAGUUUUUAUUGAACUUGCUCACAUCAGGCGCACCUCUGCGAAAGACGUCCGGGAAACUGCGCCACUACCGUACCGUCAGUUGGUGCUAAAUCGUACCGCGGUGAUAACCUGAAAAGGUGAACGGAAAGGUGAAGGAUAAGGAGGAAUGAGGAGAGGAAGGAGUCGUGAUUUGUAGGAAAGAGGAAGACUAUUUAAUUUUUGAGCUGUUUUCACACUGCUACAAAAAUUGGUCUCUCUGGUUCAUCCGAACAAA